AGGGCGUUAGUCUAAUUUGGGCGCCCCGCUGUUAACGGGGAGGCGGGAGUUGUCUCACGUCCUG
rnacentral:tRNA from 1 species